UGGGGAAUAUUGGACAAUGGGCGAAAGCCUGAUCCAGCCAUGCCGCGUGUGUGAAGAAGGUCUUCGGAUUGUAAAGCACUUUAAGUUGGGAGGAAGGGCAGUAAGCGAAUACCUUGAUGUUUUGACGUUACCGACAGAAUAAGCACCGGCUAACUCUGUGCCAGCAGCCGCGGUAAUACAGAGGGUGCAAGAGUUAAUCGGAAUUACUGGGCGUAAAGCGCGCGUAGGUGGUUCGUUAAGUUGAAUGUGAAAGCCCCGGGCUCAACCUGGGAACUGCAUCCGAAACUGGCGAGCUAGAGUAGGGCAGAGGGUGGUGGAAUUUCCUGUGUAGCGGUGAAAUGCGUAGAUAUAGGAAGGAACACCAGUGGCGAAGGCGACCACCUGGGCUCAUACUGACACUGAGGUGCGAAAGCGUGGGGAGCAAACAGG
rnacentral:rRNA from 1 species